UCCCUCCAGAUCCCUGAUCCCUCAAACUUACACAGUGGUUUGAGUGGUUAGAAAAACAAAAAGGAGGAAACAUAAAACUGAAAUGGACUUGGAGUCUUUAGUGACAAAAAAGUUCAUUUCAAAUAAAC
rnacentral:snoRNA from 1 species